rnacentral:tRNA from 1 species
GGGCGUUUAGCUCAGUUGGGAGAGCGCUUGCCCUACAAGCAAGAUGUCGGGGGUUCAAGUCCCUUAACGCCCACCA